rnacentral:ncRNA from 1 species
UUCUUAUUUUAAAGUUAAUUCUAGCUUUGAUAUUUAUUAUUUUUAUAUUGUAUUAUAUAAAUUAUAGUGAGUUUAUUUUAUUAAUUUUAAUAUUUAAUUAAUUAAAUUAUUUAUAGUAUUUAUUUUUAAAUAAUUAAAGAAAUUUAAAUUUAGUAAUUAAUUAUUUAUUAUUGAUAAAAUUUGUGCCAGCAAUCGCGGUUAAACAAAUAAUAAUAUAAAUAUUAUAAAAUUUAAGUUAAUAUAAUAUAAAAUUUCAUAAUUUUUUUUUUAGGUAAAAUUUAAAAAUAUUAAUUAUUUUCAAUUUUUUUUUUAUGAAACUUAAUAAAAUUAGUUAUAAACUAGGAUUAGAUACCCUAUUAUUUAAUUAAAAAUUAAAAAAAUUUUAUUAGUAUAAAUUAUGUUUUUAAAAUUAAAAGAAUAUGGCAGUGUUAUAAUUUAUUUAGAGGAACCUGUUUAGUAAAUGAUAGUCCACGAUUAAUUUAAUUUAAUUUUAUUUAGUUUAUAUAUCGUCGUUAUAAAAAUAUUUUUUAGAAAAUAAUAAAUUUUAAAAAUUUUUAAAGAAAAUUAUAUCAGAUCAAGAUGUAACUUAUAAUUAAAUAUUAAUGGGUUAUAAUAAAUUUAUUUAUAUGGAAUAAUAUUUGGAAUAAUAUUAACAAAGUAGAUUUAAAAGUAAUUUAAUUUAAUUAAAUUAAAUGAUUUAAAUUUUAUAAUAUGUACAUAUUGCCCGUCGCUUUCAAUUUAAGUUGAAAUAAGUCGUAACAAAGUAGAAGUAUUGGAAAAUGUUUCUAGAAAGAA